rnacentral:lncRNA from 1 species
AUGACUGAAGAGGAAUUUAAUCAUAUAGUUAAAAAACCAAUAGACAAUGCAGGACACGGUACACAUGUUGCAGGUAUUAUAGGAAGUAGGUCAAAUAGCAUAGGUAUGGUUGGCGUUGCACCAAACGUAUCUAUACUGCCAUUAAAAUUCACACGAACUAAAGCCGGUGGGAAUACUUAUUAUGCCAUUAAAGCUUUAAAUGUUUGUUUACUUAAUAAAUCUCCUAUCAUAAACGUCAGUUGGGGAUCUGCUCAUUAUGAUUCAGGAUUAUACCAAGCAUUUAAUAGAUUGCAAUACUCGUUCAAGGGAAAAGGUUCUGUUAUAGUUGCAGCUGCAGGAAAUACUAAUAACAACAAUGACGAAUCCUACAUAUACCCUUCAAGUUUUAAGAUACCCCAGAUGUACAGUGUCGCAUCUCUUAGUGAUGAUUAUGACGUGUCCUUUUUCUCGAAUUACGGAAAAAAAACCGUGCACAUACUUGCACCAGGUAAUGAAAUUUAUUCUUUGUAUCCAAAUAAUUCAUACAAAAUGAAUGCUGGUACUUCAAUGGCAGCUCCACAUGUCAGUGGUGUUGCUGCUUUAAUAUAUUCAGUUUGCUGCAUCCAGAGAUACAUGCCUGAAGCAACAGAAGUAAUCGAUAUUGUUUCAAGAACGUCAGUAAAAGUAGAUACUGCAAAGAAAACAGUUCAUGGUGCUUAUAUAAAUGCUGAAGCAGCAGUACUAACUACUUUAAUGGGCGGGUUAUGGAUGCAAAUUAAUUGUGACCAUUCUAAGGUUCAGCUGGGAAAAAAUCAGAAAAAACAUAUACCUAUAGUUUUUUCAGGAUAUAAAAAUGGAAUAUAUAAAACAAAUAUUAUUUUAGGAAUAACACCUGUUGAUAAAGAUUCAGAAGUAUAUGGAGAAAUUGUAAUACCAAUAAGAAUAGUUACUGAUGUUAAAUAUCCCAAUUUUGUUGCUUCUCCCCGAUUUGGAAACCCAUGUCGAUAAAUAAAGACGAAGCACCAAAUGAUGAAUUAUUGGAUUAUAUGUGUAAUAAUUCAUUGUAUGACAUUCAAAAAAAUAACCCAACGGAAUACGAACAUAGUAUCAAUAAUAUUAUUGUUAUCAUCUAUAUGUUGUGUGGGGUUAAUAUGCUUCGGUAUUGUAAAAAUAUUACAAAAUAUGUUUUCCAUAAUAAAUAAGAACCUGAACAAAAAUAAGCGUCA